rnacentral:lncRNA from 1 species
CGGCCUAGCAUGUGAAAAUCUUUGCUUUGUCUAUGAUGUCAUGUAGAAAAAUCUUUAAAGAAUUCUUUCUCUCUUCUUAAAUAUAAAACAUCGUACUAAAACAAAUGAUAAUUGCAAUUCAUCACCCUUUUAGAAAUUAUAAGUAAUUUGCGAAAACAUAAAUAUCAAUUUGAGGUGGUCAAAUUUUACUAAAACUCAAUAAUGUUGUGGAAUUUUGGUCUGUGCUCUAUGCUUCUUCCACACAAAUUCUCUAUUUACCAUCAAAUGAGGUUAGAUGGAAAUCAUGGACCUAAAGUCCAUUGUUCCAAGUCUAGAGUGAGAAAAGAACGUUAAAAGUUCCAUGGGGG